GUAUAAGAGACAGCAGUAGCCGCGGGAACACGUAGGUGGCAAGCGUUGUCCGGAAUUAUUGGGCGUAAAGGGCUCGCAGGCGGUUUCUUAAGUCUGAUGUGAAAGCCCCCGGCUCAACCGGGGAGGGUCAUUGGAAACUGGGAAACUUGAGUGCAGAAGAGGAGAGUGGAAUUCCACGUGUAGCGGUGAAAUGCGUAGAGAUGUGGAGGAACACCAGUGGCGAAGGCGAUUCUCUGGUCUGUAACUGACGCUGAGGAGCGAAAGCGUGGGGAGCGAACAGGAUUAGAUACCCGUGUAGUCCCUGUCUCUUAUAA
rnacentral:rRNA from 1 species